UGCAAAACCCUCCCCAGCGUGGUGAAGAAGACUGCAUUCACAGGCAGUGCAGAAGAGGCAGAGAUGGGAAGUACCUGGCCAGAGGCCACGGUGCAGGGAAGGCAGGGGAGGCACUGUCACUCAGGCUUGGGUCAGCUUUGCACUGGCAUGGUGAGUAAGAGCUGCAAGAAACCUGGUUGCGGGGAAACGGAGACUCAAGCACAGAGAACAAGAAGGAAAGAUGCAUUCUCCACUCACACGAGUGACAGGAUCUUGCUGUACAGCUCAGCAUGGCCUCAAACUGAGAAUCUUCCUGCCUCAGACUACCAAGUUUACAGAUAUUGGCUACUAUCUGUGGUGCAAAAGACCCCUUUCCAGGUUUAGCCUUCAUAAAUAUUGAUACUUCCAACGAAGAACACUGGAGAAUCCUACCUCAUUCCCUCUUUGGGCAGAUACCCACUUAUCAGGCUUCCUUUUUUGAAGUUAGAACCCUACCCUUCUUUCUUUCUUUUUUUUUAACAUUUAAAAAAUUUAUGUUUUUAAUGUAUGUACAUUGGUGUUUUGACUGCCUAUGUCUGUAUAGGAGUGUUGGAUCCCUUGGAACAGGAGUUAUAGGCAGUUGCCAGCUGCCAUGUGCUGGGAACUGAACUUGGAUCCUCUGGAAGAGCAGCUAGUGCUUAAGCCCCAGACCCUACCCUUCUUAAAAUGCAAAUGUUUCCAUCAGGAAUCUCCCUUUGUAAGCAAGGAGGAUGCCACCACCCAUGGUGACACCACUUGUAAUCAUAGCUCUCUCUGGUAGCAGAGACAGCAGCACUAUAAGGCCAAGGCCAGGCUGGGCUACAUGAGACCCUGUCUCCUGCAUCAAUCAAUCAUCAGUCAUCAAUCAUCGGAGGAAAGAAAGAAGAUAUGGAUACUCUCCAAAGCUCUUCACAGAACAUGUUAAACGAAAGAGCCAAAUGUAAAAGCCAUGAUUGUCUGUGAAGCACACAAAAGCUAGGUGUACAGGAAGAGAACACUGACCAGUGUGAGCACCAGCCAUGGGUGAAAGACCUUCCUCCUCAGAAUCCCCUCACUGAAGAAUGACCUGCUGGUUUAGGCCAACGGAGGUGCUGAAGAGAUAACUCAGUGGUUAAAAGCACUGGUUCUUGGAGGAGACCUGGGUUCCAUUCCCAGAACUCCCAUGACAUCUCACAACUGUCUGCAACACCAGUAGCAGACCUGAUACCCUCUUCUGGCCUCUGCAGGCAUUAGGCAUCCAUGUUGUGCAAAGACACACAUUCAUGCAACACACCCAUGCAUACAAAGUGAAAUUUUGAAAUGAAGAAGGAGAAAGGGGAGGAGGAAGAAGAAAAGGAGGAAGAGGAGGAAGAAAGAAGAAGAUGGUGCCAUCAACGUGGCUCAGCAGGUUGAGGCACCUGCUAUCAAGCCUGGCAAUUUAAGUCCAAACCCUAAGACCCACAUGGUAGAAGGGAAAGAUGGGUUCCUGCAAGUUGUCAUCCUUUAACCUCCGUGUGUGUGCUGUGGCACAUGGACACAUACAUGCAGACACAAAAUAACUAAGAGUGUAAUUUAAAGUUUUAAAGCUGCAAUAUUGGGAGGCAGAGGCAGGUGGAUCUCUGACUUUGAGGGUGAGUUCCAGGGCAGCCAGGGCCACACAGGAAAACCCUGUCUCGAAAAACCAGGAAAAAAAAAAAAAAAAAGGAAAUGAUGGUAACAUGUGGCCACUUUAUUAAAGAAACUAGAAAGGCAUAAUACAUGUCCCUGGGAGCCCUUGAAGGGGCCACUUGCUGGUGUCUAACCCAGAGAAUACUCAAGGUGAUACGUUUUGCAAUACCCAAAGGGCUGACAUGGAGGAGUGAUGGAAGUCAAACCUUCCAUUUCCAUAAAAAUAUCAGUAUGUGGGUCAUUGUACGUAGGGACCUUAAGAACUAUUUAGAGGUUCAAAGAACUGUGGGUUGUGAGCUACCAUCACUGGAAGAAUUCACACGGGGGCUGGGUUUUGGUUCUUGCCUUGGGCAGGUGAUCUUUUAGGUCCCUUCUACUUGAUGACAUCGUGAUUACAGAAAGGGAACUCGGAAUUUCCUUUAGCCCUCCGUGUCCCCUGAAAAGAUGACACUCCGAUCUACAAGGCUACGUGAAUUCAGACCAAUGCAGAACUAGGGCCUUCCUCAACAGGUGCUUGAGAAUUGGCUUCCCCCACCAAAUGGGUAGUUACUAAAGCUGAGUCAGGUCCUGGGCAGCGUCUGAUGCUGGUCACACCCAGGGAUGGCUUCAGGGGCUUCCAAGGAGCACACUCCUUGGAAACUGGAACAGAUCCCAGCGGUCUGCUUUGAUGUGAACCUGCUGGGAGGGUGGGCCAGAAGCCGGUUCCUCUGCCUCAGGGUGCUGGGCUCCCGGGGUCCCACCUUGCCCUUCUACAACUACAAAAUCCCUCCAUGCUCUUCAGCUUAGCUGUUCCUGCAAAGCAGAUUUGUCGAUGCCGGUACAGGUAUGGGCACACCUUCUUGUCACUACCACUUACUGAGCGCCACAGCUUUUCAGUGACCAAAAGGAUUAAGAAAUCUAGGCUCACAUAUUAUUUUUUACAUUACAAUUUAUGUAAACUACAUGUGCAUUCAAAACCGAAAAUUUAUGCCCCAACCAGAGACUAUUAGGAAAAAUAAGAACAAUGCCGACAACAACUACAACAAAAGACUUUGCAUGGUGCCAGUGAGUAGAACACUUGCUUUUCAAGCCUGGAAACCUGAGUUUUUGUAAGACAUAGACCCACUGGAGGAGGAGAGAACCAACUCCCGAAAGCCGUACUCUGACCUCUGUACGUGUAUUCCCCACACAUCAUACAAAUACACUCGAAUAAUAAAAUAAUGAA